rnacentral:rRNA from 1 species
UACGUAGGGGGCGAGCGUUGUCCGAAUUUACUGGGCGUAAAGCGCGCGUAGGCGGGCUAUUAAGUUGGUGGUGAAAUGCCGGGGCUCAACUCCGGAACUGCCUUCAAAACUGAUAGCCUUGAGGUAUGGAGAGGGAAGUGGAAUUCCUGGUGUAGCGGUGAAAUGCGUAGAUAUCAGGAGGAACACCCGUGGCGAAGGCGGCUUCCUGGCCAUAUCCUGACGCUGAGGUGCGAAAGCCAGGGGAG